AUGGUGCUGGAGGAUGGAGUGGUACUGUUCCUUCUUCAUGAUACCCUUUACUUCAAACAAAUCUCCUACUCCAUCACCUGCAAAACAUCCCCAUACCAUGGAACUACCACCUCCAUGCUGAAUUGUGGGUGUAACACAUGGUGCUUUCAGACGUUCACCAGUUUGUCUGCGGACAUAGACUCUGCGUUUUGAACCAAACAGUGCAAACUUGUUUCUAGUCAUCAUAAG